GCCUGAAUUUGUUGUAAGUUUCUUUCUCAUAGAUUUUUAUUCAAUAUAUUUCUUGUUGAUCCUCACACAUGCGGUUAACAGAAAAAUAAAGUUCAAAAACAUCAUCGGGGCAGGUUCAUGGAUCCUCACACUCUUGCUCAUGGUUCGGUUUGUGUGUGUUACUCCACAAUAUAUAAUUUUCUGUUUAAUUCUUAUUUUGUUUCAGUUCAAUAUAUAAUUUUAGUUAAGUUCAAUAUAUAAUUUUAGUUUAGUUCAAUAUCUUGAGUAUCACCUUUUUCUGCCAUGAACUCAUGCUAUAAUAUGGGCAGCUAAGUUCACUCUGAAUAUGUUGAUACUAAACCAGAAGUUUGCUCUGAACUCUCAUGUUUGUCUUAACAAUUGACAGGUCUGAAUAUGUUGCCGCUGCCAUGCUGAUUUCCUGUUGCGACCUUGUUGAUUCCCCGCCUUCGAACUGCUCCCUCAAUCCCCUGUGUGGACCACCGCCGACUGUGGGAUGCACCUUCCAUGCGCAACCAUGUGACCAUGUAGAUGCACGUCUUCAUUGAGUCGCUCACAGCGCAUAUGUGUGUGUUGUGUUCGUGCGUGCAUGGUCGCGGCCAUGCUUGGCGUUUUGGUGUUGUCUGUGUGUGGUCUUGCGGGCGUCUCACCUCAAACGCAUCCCAGGACGAUGCACGAGUUGAUGAGGAAACACCCAAGCCUGUGGCCUCUCGACCACAACUUCGUCUCAUGGAAGCUGUUGGAUGUGGAGAGCCAGUAUGAAUUCAAGUCUAAGUGGCUCAUCGAGGAGAAAAAGAAGAGGAACUCGAGUGGUUUCUCUGUGGAGAAGGGCAGAAGACAUUUUGCUCUGAACAUACUUGUUGAUAUGCCCAUGAAAACGGGUACAUUUUUCUACAGAUUUUUGUGUUGCUAACGAGGGCUACACAACUUGUAUUUACAAGUUGAACUUAAGCGUAUCCCCUAUAAAGUUUGUGGAUGUUGGAUGUUCUUUUGACAUUGAACUGUUAUGUGCUUGCAAAAUCUGAAGUGUUGAUCCAUCAGCAUUCGUAGCUUCGCACCUCAUUCUUGUAUGUUAUCUGUUUCAAGUGCUCAAUGAAGUUUAUGUUCUGAGGUCAUGUACACAUACCUAGGCAUUCAUGUAUUACUAACCAGUAAGUACACCUGUUGCUUCUCUCGCUCGUUUGUGCUGGUGGUGAAUAGUUCAAAUUCUUGGCAAAUUUUAAAACGUUCAAACUGAUAAACGUGGUA
rnacentral:lncRNA from 1 species